AAGCAGGAAGCCCAGUGAGCAGACAAAGAACAAAAGUCCCAGGGGAACGUCACCAGCACAGUCAUCUCCACACAUGCAAAGGUCCCUUCGGCCUUUUUUUUUUUUUUUUUUUCCCCUUUGAAAUUUCAAAUUCCAGUUUGUGGACAAAGUCCUGCCUAUGUGAGAAUAUAGAUCUCCGACCACUGACCAAACUCCACUCCAAGCAGUCCCGAGGACUGCUCUGCCCCUUGCCCACAGAUGCCUCUGCUCAGUCCUUGGAUCUGCCAGGAUCGGGCCGAAAUUUUGCACUGGAGCACAGCGCUGGUACUGGCACACAGAGGAUUUUGCACUUAAUGUCAGCAGCUCCCUUUCUGGGAAGGAUCAUCAGGAAUAACCAGCUGUGUGCAGAGUGCCUGAACAGUCUGUGUUGUCCCCAGUGUCCUCUGCCAGAGGACAACACAACCAUCCUGUCCACUGCCAGGGACACAAAACCACAGCAGAAAGCAAGGUAUGGGAACAUGGGAGCCUCCUACGUGGGGAACAGCAAGGGAAGGGGAUCACAGGGCUCCACAGUCCCAGGAAUCCACGGGCAGGACAUGGGUAGUGCCAACUGCAACCAAACAUGGGAAACUGCUAAUUAGCCUUUGAGUAUUCGACCCGUGUCUCCAAGACUGAAUAACACUGUUAUUUGUCCUUUUGCAUUCCUGCAAGACCCAGUGCCAUUGGCCUUUUGUAUCAUAAAGAAAUUAAAAUAUAUUGUGACCAUAAACUA